GCUAACGUUAGCUUAAUGCUAGUUAGGUAACGUUAGCAGUUUGAAAAGUCACCAGUUAAUGCUAGUUAGCUUUCACAAUAACUGACGCUAUGAUGCUAACAGUCAUAUAAGACUCGAGUGCUUUAGUUAGCUCACUUGAGUGUCAGCUAUAAUACAUGUUUUAAUUACAGCUACAUUUAAUAUGGCUCGGCUUGGAUAUCGUAUUCAAAAUGUGCUAGUUGUGCAACAGACGGAAUAUAUGAUUUUUUCCCUACUAUUUGCAAACAAUAUUCCUAUAUUAUUUGGAUAUAUCUCUAAGCAGCGAAUCCUUCAUGCAAUGUCCUGAGGGAAAUAAUGGCAAAGGGAAGGAGAGCGGGAUGCAGCCUCUGGAAUUGACUGUGAAAUUAACGAGAGGCACGUUAUUCCAGCGCGCUGCUUAACCGGUGUGAAAAACAGAUAGUGACAGCGAUAACGAAGCAGUCCUUUCAUCUUGUCUCUGUGGGCCAAACCUCCAGCAGCUAUUUGUCACAAGCAGAUGUUUCAGAGAACCAUGACCUCCAAGUGUGGUUGCUGGGGAAUGGGAGCUUGGCGCCACUUCUGAUUGGAAACCUGCAGAGCAGAGAGGGCAUGGUCAAGACAACGAUGGAAACAUGAGUGAGAGUUGGAGAGAGAAGUGCCACGGGACACCUAGCUGAUUUCGACAAUGUGGAUGCAACGCGAGCUUUCAGGGCAAGGUUUCUCCAAGCGAGACACAGAAUAACAAACAGUCCGGAGCAAGCGAAAGGGUUUUAAUGAAGAUUUUGAGGCUGGAGCUGAUGACGAGUCUAUUUCCCCGGAUUUGAUUCAGCUGUUUCUCCAUCUGGCGUUCGAGCACCUGGGAGUCAUCUGCAGGAUGCUGUAGCCGAGGAUGCUGUGUAGCUCUGCUCAGCCUCUCGUUCUGCUGACUACAGAGGUUGAAUGGGAGAGCGCAGAGGAGAUGGAGAGCCCCCCUCCCCGCCCCUCACAGCACAGUACACGGCUCUCUCCGUAGCUCAGCCAAUGGCAGCGCGCAGCAUCCACGAUUGGCUAUCGCAGCCUAGUGCAGCACAGACUUGAAUAUGCAAUAGUCAACAUCUCAAUUAAAGUGACAGCCGUGCCCCAUAAGAAUGAUAUAUUUAUCUACAGUGUUUGCUUCCUGUGUUUGCUUUACCUGGAGCCACAGCAUUCAGUUUGCACUACAGUGAAUAUAGAGUCCAUGUUAUGUUUCAAAAGGGCAAUGCAAAUUUACAUGCUCUUUUUAAGGGCAGAAUUUGCUUAAUUCAUGCAUCCUCUAACAGUCAUACUUCUUUUUUAAUGAGAUUUUCAUGAAUGUAUACAAACAGUUGAAUUUGUAAUACUUUGGUCUUUGCUGCUUUAAUUAGACUUGUGACCUCUAAACGGUUUUGUCAGUGCAAAACCUUUUAGAUGCAAGUGUACAUGCGAUUUAUAGACAAAAUGUUCACGUCAAAAUGAACACAAGCUUAUCUUAUACUACUAGAAUUAGAUAAUGUAGCAUAUUGCAGUGUGCUAAUAUUUCUGUACCUUUUAAAUAUUUCAGAUUAGAAUUAAUGUCCAGUUUUUGCAUUUUAAAUAUGUGAAAUCGCUGUGAAAUACCGUAGACUUUCUUUUUGAAAAACCAACUGCUUCCAGUCUCAACCAAGAAUAUGUGCAUGUGCUCAAGCUUUCUUGUUUAGUCAUCUCUUCAGCAGAGUACAUGGGGAUAUAAAUGUAAUGCACUCGUUGCACUAUGUAUAAUGCAUACACUUCCUUUGCUCUUCUUGUGUAGUUGGGCUUGUGCACAGUGGGUAUUCUAUUUAAAGUGCUGCGAUGAUUUAGCUUUUUGGUGGUGGUGCUUUAAAAUGUUAUGAAAUGCUGGCAUAUUGGAUGUAAUAUGUUUUAUUUAUUUUAUUUGAUGGCGUUUUGGUAAUGCUGCAACUAUCGUGUAGCUUGCUUUAAUAAUAGUAUUGUCUUAAGUAGCACUAUUACUACAAUUAAUAGUAGUUCAUUUGCAUAUUAUAUUUGUGAGAGGGAAAAUCAAACAGACAAAAAGAGCAGG